rnacentral:rRNA from 1 species
UACGUAGGUGGCAAGCGUUGUCCGGAUUUACUGGGCGUAAAGAGCGCGCAGGCGGUCGUUCAAGUCGAGUGUGAAAGCCCCCGGCUCAACUGGGGAGGGUCACUCGAUACUGAUCGACUCGAAGGCAGAAGAGGGAAGCGGAAUUCCCGGUGUAGUGGUGAAAUGCGUAGAUAUCGGGAGGAACACCAGUGGCGAAGGCGGGUCUCUGGGCAGUAACUGACGCUGAGGAGCGAAAGCGUGGGGAGCGAACAGG